rnacentral:rRNA from 1 species
GAUUGAACGCUGGCGGCAUGCUUUACACAUGCAAGUCGAACGGCAGCGCGGGCUUCGGCCUGGCGGCGAGUGGCGAACGGGUGAGUAAUACAUCGGAACGUGCCCAGUAGUGGGGGAUAGCUCGGCGAAAGCCGGAUUAAUACCGCAUACGACCUGAGGGUGAAAGCGGGGGAUCUUCGGACCUCGCGCUAUUGGAGCGGCCGAUGGCAGAUUAGCUAGUUGGUGGGGUAAAGGCCUACCAAGGCGACGAUCUGUAGCUGGUCUGAGAGGACGACCAGCCACACUGGGACUGAGACACGGCCCAGACUCCUACGGGAGGCAGCAGUGGGGAAUUUUGGACAAUGGGCGAAAGCCUGAUCCAGCAAUGCCGCGUGUGAGAUGAAGGCCUUCGGGUUGUAAAGCACUUUUGGCGGGAACGAAAAGGACUGUGCCAAUACCACGGUUCGAUGACGGUACCCGCAGAAUAAGCACCGGCUAACUACGUG